CAGAAAUCACCGUGCAUUUUCUUAAAACCCGAAAUUAGCCCUAUAGAUAAACUGGUCUAGACUUAUUGAGUCAUCCAUCUCUUUUUUUUUUGGGUCUAUUUCUCUUUCUCUGGUCUCUCUUGUUCCUCAUUUGGUCGUGAAAUUCUAUGUCUUUUCUCUGGAUAAAUAAUUAUUUUCAGAGGUCUCAUUCAAUCCACCCUAACUUGUUCAAUUGGUGCCACAACUCUCAUCUUGUAAGCAUUCGUCUCCACCGCCGUGUUCUUGCCUCUGCCGCCGUGUUCAUGCCCCCACCAUCGUGUGUUCCGUUAGUAAACAGCCUCCACAAGUGAUGGUUAUUUUGCUUUUGUGAUCUUAAGAUCUAUGCUUUUAGAGUUUUGAAUACUCCUGAUCUAUAUACGAGCUUUUUGGUAUAUUUUAUUUUUCUGAUGAUAAAUGAUAUUUUCCUAAAUUCGUUUUCAAUCUUUCAACUGUGACAAUCGGAAAAAUCUGAACAAUAAACAAAGUUGCAUCUCGUAUACAUCAUCUUAGUCAUUGUAUCUUUACCUGCUUUUUAAUUAUUACCUCUUACAUUGUUGCGGAGUUUUAUGUAGUUUCACACUCCCUCCUUGCAUAAUUCUGCAAAUACUUUUGAAAAGCAACCAUCUACCUAAUUACCAAUCUGUUUAUGUAUAUUCACCUAAAUUGGCCUUUCAGUUUUCCAUAAUUUUAUAUCUAACCUUAUCUUUUGCAGAAAAAAAUAUAUCUAACCUUAUCUUAGUUUCCAUCUACCCUCUACAAUAUUAUAUCCAUUUACAAACGUUAGAUACUCUUACAGUUUUAUAUUCAUUUGUAAACGUAAGUUUAUGUAUUUAUUAUUCCGAUUUGAUAUGGUGUAUUUAUAUGUAUUGUCGCAUUUCAUAUUACAAGACUUUCAUGUAUAGGUAGGUACUUUUUUCGAACGUGUACUCAACUAGAUCACUAGAUCUAUGCGUAGGUAUGUAUAAGCUUGUUGCAUAAUCAUCUUGAAGAUACUUUAAAAUUUAAGGAAUUUAUACACAUAUUAUGAUCAAAGACUUUAUUACAAUGGUUGAGUCCGUUCGAUCACCAUAUAUUAGUUCUGAAUCCGGAAAAAUGCAGGCCGAAUUAAUAAACAGAAAGUAUCUGUGGACCAUCGGGAAGAUAGAAAAUAAAACAAAGAUAAGAGAAUUUUUUUGGUUGAUUGUUAUAUGUACGAUUGCUUGCACACAUGGAUAAGAUAAACUUAAGUUUAGGGUUAGAGUGAUCAGAUCUGAAUAUUAAAUUUAGCAAAUCAGAAAAGGACUGAAUAAGACAUAAAGGCUUUUGAUAAUGAAGGUCUUGUCCAUACUUUCAUAUGUAUGUGAAUGUGUAGCAUAUGGAAAGGUAUGAUAUAUCGAUAUGAUGGUAAUACAUACACAUAUAUACUUGCUUUACAUCAUCAUUACC
rnacentral:lncRNA from 1 species